AAAAACCAUCUCUCAAGGCAAGAAGCGACAUAACUCUUCCCAGAAAAAUUUGGAUUUGCAAAACACCAUGAACGAAAUAAUCAAUCAAUUUUUUACUUUCUUCCACCAUUUAUAUAUAUAUAUAUAUAUUUUUUAUAACGGAAGCAUUUUUAUAAGUAAAAAGACCUAUCACAGAAAUUAAAUAAAAAUUAUUGUCGUCAGUUAAACCUUAAACUCUUAACAACUUUAACAGUUAUUGUGGCAAGUUAAAUUAAUUUUCUUACGUGCUAUUUAUAUUUAUUGUAUUAGAGGACAGUAUCUUUUUUUUUUGAGUUAAAAC
rnacentral:lncRNA from 1 species